ACCCUACGGGAGGCAGCAGUGGGGGAUAUUGGACAAUGGGGGAAACCCUGAUCCAGCGACGCCGCGUGAGUGAAGAAGUAUUUCGGUAUGUAAAGCUCUGUCAGCAGGGAAGAAAGAAAUGACGGUACCUGACCAAGAAGCCCCGGCUAACUACGUGCCAGCAGCCGCGGUAAUACGUAGGGGGCAAGCGUUAUCCGGAUUUACUGGGUGUAAAGGGAGCGUAGACGGCAUAGCAAGUCUGAAGUGAAAGCCCGUGGCUCAACCGCGGAACUGCUUUGGAAACUGUUAAGCUGGAGUACUGGAGA
rnacentral:rRNA from 1 species